rnacentral:rRNA from 1 species
AGUAUCCUACGGGAGGCAGCAGUGGGGAAUAUUGCACAAUGGGGGAAACCCUGAUGCAGCGACGCCGCGUGAGUGAAGAAGUAUUUCGGUAUGUAAAGCUCUAUCAGCAGGGAAGAAAAAAGACGGUACCUGACUAAGAAGCUCCGGCUAACUACGUGCCAGCAGCCGCGGUAAUACGUAGGGGGCAAGCGUUAUCCGGAUUUACUGGGUGUAAAGGGAGCGUAGACGGCGCGGCAAGUCUGAAGUGAAAGGCAGGGGCUUAACCCCUGAACUGCUUUGGAAACUGC